rnacentral:sRNA from 3 species
AUAAGAACGAUAAGGGCGACCGUGAGGUCGCCCAUUUUGUUUUCUGGCCCUAAACCACCUUCUUUAGAAGGUGGUGAUCGUU